rnacentral:rRNA from 1 species
UACGUAGGGGGCUAGCGUUGUCCGGAAUCAUUGGGCGUAAAGCGCGUGUAGGCGGCCCGGUAAGUCCGCUGUGAAAGUCGGGGGCUCAACCCUCGAAUGCCGGUGGAUACUGUCGGGCUAGAGUGCGGAAGAGGCGAGUGGAAUUCCUGGUGUAGCGGUGAAAUGCGCAGAUAUCAGGAGGAACACCGAUUGCGAAGGCAGCGCGCUGGGACGUUACUGACGCUGAGACGCGAAAGCGUGGGGAGCAAACAGG